AGGGAAACCGAGUCUUAACUGGGCGUUAAGUUGCAGGGUAUAGACCCGAAACCCGGUGAUCUAGCCAUGGGCAGGUUGAAGGUUGGGUAACACUAACUGGAGGACCGAACCGACUAAUGUUGAAAAAUUAGCGGAUGACUUGUGGCUGGGGGUGAAAGGCCAAUCAAACCGGGAGAUAGCUGGUUCUCCCCGAAAGCUAUUUAGGUAGCGCCUCGUGAACUCAUCUUCGGGGGUAGAGCACUGUUUCGGCUAGGGGGUCAUCCCGACUUACCAACCCGAUGCAAACUGCGAAUACCGAAGAAUGUUAUCACGGGAGACACACGGCGGGUGCUAACGUCCGUCGUGAAGAGGGAAACAACCCAGACCGCCAGCUAAGGUCCCAAAGUCACAGUUAAGUGGGAAACGAUGUGGGAAGGCUCAGACAGCCAGGAUGUUGGCUUAGAAGCAGCCAUCAUUUAAAGAAAGCGUAAUAGCUCACUGGUCGAGUCGGCCUGCGCGGAAGAUGUAACGGGGCUAAACUGUGCACCGAAGCUGCGGCAGCGACGCUUAUGCGUUGUUGGGUAGGGGAGCGUUCUGUAAGCCUGCGAAGGUGUCCUGUGAGGGAUGCUGGAGGUAUCAGAAGUGCGAAUGCUGACAUAAGUAACGAUAAUGCGGGUGAAAAGCCCGCUCGCCGGAAGACCAAGGGUUCCUGUCCAACGUUAAUCGGGGCAGGGUGAGUCGACCCCUAAGGCGAGGCCGAAAGGCGUA
rnacentral:rRNA from 1 species